CCUCCGCAGGAAGCGCUGCGCAUGCAGCUGCCUGCUUUGUGCUUGAUGGCUUUGCUGAAGGAACUUCACUUGUUUUUUCUGACGUGGUGCCACGCAUUUCAUCCCCGGAGAGCUAAUUGCCAGACAAAGGGAACCCACCCGAAGAACACACACAAAGCUAUUUGUGGCAUGGGCUCUGGCACUCUCUCCAGCAAAACGAAAAGCAAUAAAAUUAAUUGGAGUGCACAAUAGGCACUCCUCAAAACAGCAGAUUAAGAGAUGCAGAGCAGUGAUGGCUGUUGGUGAGGGCAGGGAGUACCAGGGCACAUGGCAGAGAAGGGUAAUAGAUCCAGCCUCCCUGAGAGACGACAAGCUGCAGCACAGCGGAGAAGGGGCUGCCCCAAUAGGAGAGUUCCCCGUGUGCGUGUGCCACCUUCUCCCAGGUCUCAGACGGAGUGAGGGACAUGGGGAGGAGAGCCCAAAGAGCAACAGAGAUGUCAGAGGCAUCAUCCGGCUGUGUUAAAAACCUCCACUCUGCAUAAACACCAACAUUCCCUGGCUAUUCUGAGCCAAAUCCCAGCCCGUUAGGUUCAGCAUUAACAACAAUCCCUGUAACUUUCUCAGCCUUGCUGUUUACACAAGCUUGAGCUCUCAUACAUAAAA